rnacentral:rRNA from 1 species
CCUACGGGAGGCUGCAGUGAGGAAUAUUGGUCAAUGGACGAGAGUCUGAACCAGCCAAGUAGCGUGAAGGAUGACUGCCCUAUGGGUUGUAAACUUCUUUUAUAUGGGAAUAAAAUGUUCCACGUGUGGGAUUUUGUAUGUACCAUAUGAAUAAGGAUCGGCUAACUCCGUGCCAGCAGCCGCGGUAAUACGGAGGAUCCGAGCGUUAUCCGGAUUGCUUGGGUUUAAAGGGAGCGUAGGUGGAUUGAUAAGUCAGUUGUGAAAGUUUGCGGCUCAACCGGAAAAUUGCAGUUGAAACUGGCAGUCUUGAGUACAGUAGAGGUGGUCGGAAUUCGUGGUGUAGCGGUGGAAUGCUUAGAUAUCACGAAGAACUCCGAUUGCGAAGGCAGCUCACUGGACUGCAACUGACACUGAGGCUCGAAAGUGUGGGUAUCAAACAGGAUUAGAUACCCGGGUAGUC